UACCCGGCCCAUGAACAGGUCUACUUCCCCUACACGAACAGCGGCGAUAGAUGUUGCAGCGGUGGCGGACUUCUGAAGUCCUCCCUCGCCUGUUGGUGAUGACGAUCUCAUCCAUUCAAAAAUCAUAGCGUCGGUGACGCGAAAUGGAAACCAGAGUCGAGAGGUAUUCCGAAAAUUUUUGUCUUAAUUCCGUUUCUCUCUCAAUAGUCUGAUCAGAAUGGCUCAACAAUUUGUGAAAUCUGUCAAAGAUGGCUUGAAGCUCGAAAAGCGAAUAUACUUUGGAAACGAUCGCUUCGCCUCCAAGGCCGAUCGCAGUGGAGAAAUCUUCCCACACGCUUCUUCCGACUUCUCCGAUGCUUUACGCGGUGAUCUCUGAUCCUGCAAUUAUUGAUAAUCCGGAUAUUCCGAGCUACCAGCCUAAGAUUUACAUUCUUUUGUAUUUGAUUUCAUGAGAAGAAGUGGAAAGAUAUGGAUAGAAACAGAGAAGCAAGGAGAGGAAGCUUAGCGGCGACGAAUGGAUUGUCGAGAAGGAGACAAAGGAGCAGCAGUCUGAGGGAUUCGCCUGAGGAAGAUGGGUCAAUGGAAUUGCAGGAAACGGCGAGGUUAUGAGAUCAAGUAAAUAAGAAAGAUAGAGAUCAGGAUCGGUCGAGUCGGAACAAGAGAAGAAGGGGAGAUAGAUUGAUGCAUGGGAGUAAUCAGGAGGAAGGUGGAGGAAGAAAGUACCGAAGAAAGCGUUGACAAUGAUGAGGACGAAGACGCCGGUGCGGUUCGGAUGCUUCCCCCGAAUCCUCCAUCAUCCUCUCUGUUGAAUCAUCGUCAUCAUCGAAAGAGCUUUCCGCCUGCUAAGGUUGUUAGGGUGGCCCCGACGUGGAAGGUCCCUGAUGAGAUGUCGGUACCGAGAAAAGCUCGGUCAGCUUCGGCUAAAAGGUCACAUGAAUGUUGGAUCUCAAGCGGAGGUGGUAGUGGUGGGGUCUUUGUCAGAUACCUCAUAAUACAGGG